GACGAACGCUGGCGGCGUGCUUAACACAUGCAAGUCGAACGGAAAGGCCUGCUUUCCCUUGUGUAUUGCGGGUACUCGCGUGGCGAACGGGUGAGUAACACGUGAGUGAUCUGCCCCCAACUUGGGUAUAAGCCUGGGAAACUGGGUCUAAUUCCCGAUAGGACUGCAGGGUGGUGCCUGUGGUGGAAAACGAUUUUCUAGUGGUUGGGGAUGAGCUCGCGGCCUAUCAGCUUGUUGGUGGGGUAAUGGCCUACCAAGGCGGCGACGGGUAGCCGGCCUGAGAGGGUGGACGGCCACAUUGGGACUGAGAUACGGCCAAGACUCCUACGGGAGGCAGCAGUGGGGAAUAUUGCACAAUGGGCGGAAGCCUGAUGCAGCGACGCCGCGUGGGGGAUGACGGCCUUCGGGUUGUAAACUCCUUUCGACCGCGAGGAAGCCACCUGGUUGGAAGGGUGGUGACGGUAGUGGUAGAAGAAGCACCGGCUAACUACGUG
rnacentral:rRNA from 1 species